rnacentral:rRNA from 1 species
AGACAACUCUCAACAACGGAUAUCUUGGCUCUCGCAACGAUGAAGAACGCAGCGAAAUGCGAUACGUAGUGUGAAUUGCAGAAUUCCGUGAACCAUCGAAUCUUUGAACGCAUAUUGCACUCGCGGCCUCGGCCAAGAGUAUGUCUGCCUCAGCGUCGGUU